UACGAGGGGUCCUAGCGUUGUUCGGAAUUAUUGGGCGUAAAGCGGAUGUAGGCGGCUGGAUAAGUCAGAUGUGAAAGCCCUGGGCUCAACCUAGGAAGCGCAUUUGAAACUAUCCAGCUUGAGUACGGGAGAGGGCAGUGGAAUUCCUGGUGUAGUGGUGAAAUACGUAGAUAUCAGGAGGAACAUCGGUGGCGAAGGCGGCUGCCUGGCCCAGUACUGACGCUCAGAUCCGAAAGCGUGGGGAGCAAACAGG
rnacentral:rRNA from 1 species